rnacentral:rRNA from 1 species
UACGUAGGGUGCGAGCGUUAAUCGGAAUUACUGGGCGUAAAGCGUGCGCAGGCGGUUUUGUAAGUCAGAUGUGAAAUCCCCGGGCUCAACCUGGGAACUGCGUUUGAAACUACAAGGCUAGAGUGUAGCAGAGGGGGGGUAGAAUUCCACGUGUAGCAGCGAAAUGCGUAGAGAUGUGGAGGAAUACCAAUGGCGAAGGCAGCCCCCUGGGUUAACACUGACGCUCAUGCACGAAAGCGUGGGGAGCAAACAGG